rnacentral:rRNA from 1 species
UACGGAGGGUGCAAGCGUUGUUCGGAAUCAUUGGGCGUAAAGCGCGUGUAGGCGGCUUGGCAAGUCAGUUGUGAAAGCCCGGGGCCCAACCCCGGAACUGCAUCUGAAACUGCCUAGCUAGAGUCCCGGAGAGGAAGGCAGAAUUCCCGGUGUAGGGGUGAAAUCCGUAGAUAUCGGGAGGAAUACCAGCGGCGAAGGCGGCCUUCUGGACGGUGACUGACGCUGAGGUGCGAAAGCGUGGGGAGCAAACAGG